UCAGCAUUGUUCUUUUAAAAAGGCAACAAGAAAUGGGAACUACAUGAAAUACCCAAAAGCGAACACUUGUUCUUUUCGUGUUUAUUAUUUGCAUUAGUUCGCUAUCCUGAAACAAAACAAUUAAUUGCCGUUGAAAGCAUGGACUUAACUUUAUAAAUAACUAGGUGGCUGCCACAUAAAUUUAACAGAAAGUUGACCUCUCACCUCAGCGCCGCAAUGUAUUCAACAAGUAUUUGCAUUCGCACGCCGCCGCUUGAAGCUUGUGAUGCGAUCCCAUAAAUUAAACUGGCUAAAACCGGAGAAAAGGAAGGCAAACGUCACCGAAACAGGAG